CACACCCAAGAACAAGGAGAGCAGGUCCGUGGCCUCGAGAGCUGACAUCUGGAUCGGAGGAGACGAUCUGUAAACUGUAGAUAAAGAAUUGUGAGAGUUGCAGGUGGCAAUUUGUGCUGUGAAGAAAAUAAAGCAAGCCAUUCCAGAAUGAUGAUCGGCAAGCUGCCUCCUGGAUUCCUCUACUCUGUGCAACCCAGGACCCACCCCAGCUUUCAGGCCGUCGUACUUGCACGUGGGGGAAAAGGGGGAAGAAAACCUUCUCUGCAUCUGUUCCCAGUCAGCCAGGAUAAGGCAGCAGUUUUCUCUUACAACCGACCUUUCCCAGCACCUGUUUCCUUCUGCACAGCAGAAACAGACAAGCAAACAAAAACGAUCCCUCAGGUCCUGGUCUGCCAUCUACACGUAGUGCCUUUGCUCUGCAGAGACCUGAUGCCUGAUGUGUGUAGCUGGUCUCUGGAGGGAACGUGCCCCGAAGUGAUUCCCAGAGGAGCCGAUAUCUCUUCCAGAAUAAACCACCAGAAACAAUAUUUGAACAGAAAUGUUAAUGCGAGCUUCAAACAGAUUAGAGUGGUUUCCCACAUCUGAGGAGGCUGGAUCCAUUGCUAAGUUGACCUACGGCCCAUGUAGUUGUGUUUGUCUGUGUGCCUGUAAGAGCUGCUGGGGGGCAUCUCUCCCUUGCUCUCUAUCCUCAUGUAAUUCUCAUAUUUGUUCAUAAAGAUCCUGCUGUAUGUUCCUGGGUCCCGUCUCAUCUCCCCCAUCAGAUGUUUAACUCCCUGUGGACAGAGCCUUCCGUGUCCUUUGUUGU
rnacentral:lncRNA from 1 species